rnacentral:rRNA from 1 species
UACGGAGGAUGCAAGCGUUAUCCGGAAUCAUUGGGCGUAAAGCGUCUGUAGGUGGCUUUUUAAGUCCGCUUGUCAAAGACUAGGGCUCAACCCUGGGCAGGCAGUGGAAACUAAUAAGCUUGAGUGCGGUAGGGGCAGAGGGAAUUCCCGGUGUAGCGGUGAAAUGCGUAGAGAUCGGGAAGAACACCAACGGCGAAGGCACUCUGCUGGGCCGACACUGACACUCAGAGACGAAAGCUAGGGGAGCGAAUGGG